ACGUCAUAGAGGGUGAGAAUCCCGUGUGGCGAGGAGUGCGGUUCUAUGUAAAGUGCCUUCGAAGAGUCGAGUUGUUUGGGAAUGCAGCUCUAAGUGGGUGGUAAAUUCCAUCUAAAGCUAAAUAUUGGCGAGAGACCGAUAGCGAACAAGUACAGUGAUGGAAAGAUGAAAAGAACUUUGAAAAGAGAGUGAAAAAGUACGUGAAAUUGUUGAAAGGGAAGGGCAUUUGAUCAGACAUGGUGUUUUGCGCCCUCUGCUCCUUGUGGGUGGGGGAAUCUCGCAGUUCACUGGGCCAGCAUCAGUUUUGGUGGCAGGAUAAAUCCGUAGGAAUGUAACUUGCUUCGGGAAGUAUUAUAGCCUAUGGGAAUACUGCCAACUGGGACUGAGGACUGCGACGUAAGUCAAGGAUGCUGGCAUAAUGGUUAUAUGCC
rnacentral:rRNA from 1 species